GACGAACGCUGGCGGCGUGCCUAAUACAUGCAAGUAGAACGCUGAAGGAGGAGCUUGCUUCUCUGGAUGAGUUGCGAACGGGUGAGUAACGCGUAGGUAACCUGCCUGGUAGUGGGGGAUAACUAUUGGAAACGAUAGCUAAUACCGCAUAAUAGCAGUUGUUGCAUGAUAACUGUUUGAAAGGUGCAAUUGCACCGCUACCAGAUGGACCUGCGUUGUAUUAGCUAGUUGGUGGGGUAACGGCUCACCAAGGCGACGAUACAUAGCCGACCUGAGAGGGUGGUCGGCCACACUGGGACUGGGACACGGCCCAGACUCCUACGGGGGGCAGCAGGAGGGAAUCUUCGGCAAUGGACGGAAGUCUGACCGAGCAACGCCGCGGGAGUGAAGAAGGUUUUCGGAUCGUAAAGCUCUGUUGUAAGAGAAGAACGAGUGUGAGAGUGGAAAGUUCACACUGUGACGGUAUCUUACCAGAAAGGGACGGCUAACUACGUG
rnacentral:rRNA from 1 species